rnacentral:rRNA from 1 species
AACGUAGGACGCAGGCGUUAUCCGGAGUUACUGGGCGUAAAGCGCGGGCAGGCGGUCUUGCCAGUCUGAUGUGAAAUCUCCUCGCUCAACGGGGAGCAGCCAUUGGAAACUACAAGACUGGAGUCUGGCAGAGGUAGGCGGAAUUCCGGGUGGAGUGGUGAAAUGCGUAGAGAUCCGGAGGAACACCAGAGGCGAAGGCGGCCUACUGGGCCAGUACUGACGCUGAGCCGCGAAAGCCAGGGGAGCGAACGGG